rnacentral:lncRNA from 1 species
UUGACUUGUUGAGUUUGACUACUAUUCUUGGGCCUUGGUCAAGGUUGAUUUGACUUUGUUAGAUUAAAAUCAUUGGAUUUAGGGGAUUGAUGAAAUGUACAUUUCAUCUCCUAAAAUGAAUGAAUGAUUUUAAUUUGAUAAAAGUCCUCCCAUGACCAAUUUGAGUUUAUUUCAUUUCCCCUCCCUCUUAAUCUUCAAUCCCUUUCUAUCCCAUCCAUUCCAUUGACCGGAUAUCUCUAUAUCUUAAGGCUAAUUGGUU